UUGAUACCAUUGUUGUAAAAUUUGUUGUUGUGGCAAAGGUUGUUGAUGUUGUUAUUGUAAAACAAACUGCCAUUGGAUCUCUGAAACUAGUGUUCCUUCUAGCCACUCCGUUCUCUUCCGUCUUCACUUUUAACCUCAUACCUAAUAGUCCAGGUUUGGUCAUGAAACAAUUUUGCUUUUAUUUAGGUUUGUUGGAUUACUAUAGGUUCGGCUUAUUACCUCUUUCACUCACGAACUAACAAAUUGCAAAUUUGCUCAGCCCAAAGACGAAGAGUAGCAAUUGACUUCUUUGUUCAUUGCACUAGUUUUUUUUCUUAUAUUUUAUUAUGGAAAUCAAGACUUGAAGUUUAGUAAUUUUUUAUUUUUUUUGGCCAGUAGAAAUUUUUUAAUUUACUAAUUUGGUGUAUUGUUUUUGCCAGUCAAUUUAUGUAAAUCCGAGGACCGUCGUUGAAUCGAGGAAAUCCCGAUCUUAUAGAUGUCUUCCUCAACUUUCAGAAUGAAAGGUA
rnacentral:lncRNA from 1 species